rnacentral:rRNA from 1 species
UACGUAGGUCCCGAGCGUUGUCCGGAUUUAUUAGGCGUAAAGCGAGCGCAGGUGGUUUAUUAAGUCUGGUGUAAAAGGCAGUGGCUCAACCAUUGUAUGCAUUGGAAACUGGUAGACUUGAGUGCAGGAGAGGAGAGUGGAGUUCCAUGUGUAGCGGUGAAAUGCGUAGAUAUAUGGAGGAACACCGGUGGCGAAAGCGGCUCUCUGGCCUGUAACUGACACUGAGGCUCGAAAGCGUGGGGAGCAAACAGG